UACAGAGGGUGCAAGCGUUAAUCGGAAUUAUUGGGCGUAAAGCGCAUGUAGGUGGUUUUGUAAGUUUGAUGUGAAAGCCCUGGGCUUAACCUGGGAAUGGCGUUGAAUACUGUAAAACUUGAGUCGGACAGAGGGCGGUGGAAUUUCCGGUGUAGCGGUGAAAUGCGUAGAGAUCGGAAAGAACAUCGGUGGCGAAGGCGGCCGCCUGGGUCCAGACUGACACUGAGGUGCGAAAGCGUGGGGAGCAAACAGG
rnacentral:rRNA from 1 species